AUUGAACGCUGGCGGAAUGCUUUACACAUGCAAGUCGAACGGCAGCACGGACUUCGGUCUGGUGGCGAGUGGCGAACGGGUGAGUAAUGUAUCGGAACGUGCCCAGUCGUGGGGGAUAACGUAGUGAAAAUUACGCUAAUACCGCAUACGAUCUAUGGAUGAAAGCGGGGGAUCGCAAGACCUCGCGCGAUUGGAGCGGCCGAUAUCAGAUUAGGUAGUUGGUGGGGUAAAGGCCCACCAAGCCAACGAUCUGUAGCUGGUCUGAGAGGACGACCAGCCACACUUGAACUGAGACACGGUCCAGACUCCUACGGGAGGAAGCAGUGGGGAAUUUUGGACAAUGGGCGAAAGCCUGAUCCAGCCAUUCCGCGUGCAGGAUGAAGUCCCUCGGGUUGUAAACUGCUUUUGUACAGAACGAAAAGGUUUCUACUAAUACUAGGAGCUCAUGACGGUACUGUAAGAAUAAGCACCGGCUAACUACGUGCCAGCCGCCACGGUAA
rnacentral:rRNA from 1 species